UACGGAGGGUGCAAGCGUUAUCCGGAUUCACUGGGUUUAAAGGGUGCGUAGGUGGGCAGUUAAGUCAGUGGUGAAAUCUCCGGGCUCAACCCGGAAACUGUCAUUGAUACUAUCUGUCUUGAAUAUCGUGGAGGUAAGCGGAAUAUGUCAUGUAGCGGUGAAAUGCUUAGAUAUGACAUAGAACACCAAUUGCGAAGGCAGCUUACUACCCGAAUAUUGACACUGAGGCACGAAAGCGUGGGGGAUCAAAACAGG
rnacentral:rRNA from 1 species